UCUUGUACUUUUAAGUAACUAAACUGGGGUAUGUUAUGACUUCUCAUAGAAUGGGCACAUUUGGCAGACUUGUUCCUCCUUUUGCCGAAGAUGAAUUAGAUGAAGCUUAUAGAAAUGCUGUGAGAUUUGAGGAGGAGACUAUACUACUGCAACAAUCCUGUAUGAUUAUCUACGGAAAAUAUCCUUAGAGCUACUGAAAGUAGGAACGAGAGGCCCUAACACUAAAACAAACUCCAUUCAAUCAAACUGUGGUGAGAAUUCAGAUACAGGUGAUUAUAUUCAAAAUCUUCUUGCAUUCUAUUUGUUGCAAGUACCCUAUGCAAGCUAAUAUACUGAUAUGUUAUACUUUCAUACUUUGAUCUCUGAAUUAAACUCCAUAAGCACUUAGCUGAUUUCUAUUUUUGUCGUUGUUUUUAUUUUUGGGAUGCUUGCUUUAAGAUUGUUUGGAAAGGACAUGAUGCACUUACUCAUGAAUGGUGAAUAGGGUCUGUUAUGGAGGCUCAGGUGCUUGAAGGAAGGAAGAGGAAACAACCACAGUGGCUAUCUGAAUUUGUCAUCUAUUGGUGAUAAUUGUGCAGACCAAAUGUUUGUUAAGCCUAAGUGCAAUUAUGUCGUUGUAGUGUAAUCCACAUUCAAAUCAAGUUUUAAUUAUA